rnacentral:misc_RNA from 1 species
AGGUGAACCUGCGGAGGGAUCAUUACAAGUGACCCCGGUCUAACCACCGGGAUGUUCAUAACCCUUUGUUGUCCGACUCUGUUGCCUCCGGGGCGACCCUGCCUUCGGGCGGGGGCUCCGGGUGGACACUUCAAACUCUUGUGUAACUUUGCAGUCUGAGUAAACUUAAUUAAUAAAUUAAAACUUUUAACAACGGAUCUCUUGGUUCUGG